AGUCCGGUCCUAAGAACCUACGUGAGCACACUCUUAUGGAGCUACUAGUGAUGCACAUGGAGGAGCCAUGCUUUGACUUCCUCCGAGCCAAAGAGACACUGGGAUAUCAUGUCUACCCAACCUGUAGAAACACAUCAGGUGUUCUUGGAUUCUCAGUCACAGUGGAGACUCAGGCCACCAA